CAUCUUUACCCAAAUGUGAAACCACCCUGCCCAAAAAGGAAGGCCACACAGAGGAAAGAAAUGCCAACAGAUGGAGAGAGAAACGGUAUCUUGAGGACCUGUGACCCUCCUGGAGAGAGCCAUGCCUGAAGUGGCCACAGCCCCUGGAUAUCUCUGUUACAUAAGCCAAGUCAACAUAUCUGGCAUAACUUGGCAGGGUUCAGAGAGACUACUCCGGCCACCUGGUGUUUUUCUCUGAAAGCAGGGCUUGAUACCAGCACAAGCAUUCCAUCUUCAGGAGUUCUAUUGGGAGUUUCAGGUGAGUUCACCUGAAUUCAGACCUCCCAGCUUUUGGUCAAAGGUCUACACUUUAUUUGAGCUGUUUCUCAAAACCUCUCUCUUUCCUUUAUGAGUGAGGGCUUCAGUCUCUGUCUUUGGACAGACGAUUCAGGCAAAGAGCUCUGCAGAGAACUUCCUCCUUCAGCCUGUCUCAGGACCAGGGCCUCAGGAUCUGGGAGAGACAUCUAAUGACUCAGACUGUUUGAGAAACACAGAAAACAGUGCCACUGACCCCUUCUGGGGGUCAUCUGUCUUGCUGUGAAGUCUAGAAAGUCACAGAUUCCUCUGAGACCUCAUACUCUACCAUCUUUUGUGCUGUGUUACCUGAUUUUGUUGGCUUUCCGGAGUACCAGAGAUUACUUGGUACUGAGAGAGAACUUGACCUUGGUAUAUGUGAUAACUGGUGAGUCACUGGCAGAGCUACGGUUUUGGAGGUGGCUGAGGGCUAUUGUUUACAGUAAAUGGUUAUUGCUACAGGACAGUACUCAUUUCCCUGGCAGUAUAGAUGAGACAGGUAAGGUUUAAACCUUAGAGAAAUGUCUUUGUAGCACAGGGUACUGUAGAAGCAUUGCUUGGCCGGGUUCCAUGGUGUUUCCCUUUUUUUGUGAGGGGAGAUUCCAGGAUUCAAUAUAAAAGUAGAAUGCUUGAUUUAAAAAAAUCUAAAUGCUCUGUCUUCCAACUGUGCUGGCUUUUCACAUAUUUAAAUUAUUCAACUUUAAAAACUGCAAAUGCUUUUUUGUCCCUGUUCCUUAAUGGGCUCCAGUUUGAGUUCAGUUAUCCACUUGGAAAACAGACAUUAAAUUAAAAGCUACCUAUCUAAAUGAAAUUGGCCUCCUUAUGAAAUUCUAUGGUAAAUUCCUAUGAUUUUGUGUUACCUUGAAAUUCAUUUUUAACCUUCCCCUAAUAUACCCAAAUUCCUUCUUUAAAAAUAUUAAAUUCUGUAUCUGUGAUUUGAGAUGUAAAUUUGCUACCCUAUUUCUCUAAACUUCAGUAAGGGCUUCAGCCAUGUGAAACAGAUAAACUUUAACAUUUUCCAUUUACAAAGGCACAACUGUCCAUUUAAACUAGAGAGUUUUACCUGAUUCAUGGGAAAGGUUCUAAAACUGAAGUUAUAAGAUCUCUAUGAUUGCCUGCAUUUUUUGUAUACAUGUGUACACGUCUUUUCGUAUGUUGUCUAUGACACCAAAUUGACUUGUAAAUAUGUGUUCUCAUAAAUUAAAUAACUAGACCAAAUGCUUUUUAAAUUCAGAUGAUUUUAGUAAUCUUUGGUAAAUAAAAAUAGUUUUAAAAUUGUUGGUAAAAUAAAAUAGAAACAGCUUCAUAAUUUAAUUAGGAAAUUUUUGUCUGUUGGUCACUCAAGUUUAUACUAUCUCUGCUAGAUGUUUUAAGGUCAUAAACCUGUAAUUCGUAUGAUAUUUUAAAAUAUUUGCUUAAUUUGUGAGCUUAUGUCUUUGGAUUUGAGCGUU